rnacentral:rRNA from 1 species
CCUACGGGAGGCAGCAGUGAGGAAUAUUGGACAAUGGGCGCAAGCCUGAUCCAGCCAUGCCGCGUGCAGGAUGACGGUCCUAUGGAUUGUAAACUGCUUUUAUACGGGAAGAAACCCUGGCUCGUGAGCCAGAUUGACGGUACCGUAAGAAUAAGGAUCGGCUAACUCCGUGCCAGCAGCCGCGGUAAUACGGAGGAUCCAAGCGUUAUCCGGAAUCAUUGGGUUUAAAGGGUCCGUAGGCGGUUUAAUAAGUCAGUGGUGAAAGCCCAUCGCUCAACGGUGGAACGGCCAUUGAUACUGUUAGACUUGAAUUAUUAGGAAGUAACUAGAAUAUGUAGUGUAGCGGUGAAAUGCUUAGAGAUUACAUGGAAUACCAAUUGCGAAGGCAGGUUACUACUAAUUGAUUGACGCUGAUGGACGAAAGCGUGGGUAGCGAACAGGAUUAGAUACCCUGGUAGUCCACGCCGUAAACGAUGGAUACUAGCUGUUGGGAGUAAUCUCAGUGGCUAAGCGAAAGUGAUAAGUAUCCCACCUGGGGAGUACGUUCGCAAGAAUGAAACUUAAAGGAAAUUGACGG